rnacentral:rRNA from 1 species
GCUUGGCCCUAAAUCCAGAUACUCACUACCACUAGAGUAUCCGCCUGAGAACUACGAGCACAAACGCUUAAAACUCUAAGGACUUGGCGGUGCCCCAAACCCACCUAGAGGAGCCUGUUCUGUAAUCGAUAACCCACGAUAUACCCAACCCCUUCUCGCCCAAAGCAGCCUACAUACCGCCGUCCCCAGCUCACCUCCCCUGAGAGCCUAAACAGUGAGCACAACAACACCGCUAAUAAGACAGGUCAAGGUAUAGCCCAUGAAGGGGCAGAAAUGGGCUACAUUUUCUAAAAUAGAAAACGAAAAGAGGUUUGAAACAACCUCCAGAAGGAGGAUUUAGCAGUAAAGGGCGGCAAGAAUACCCCCUUAAACCUGGCCCUGGAG